UACAUGGGGUGCAAACGUUGCUCGGAAUUAUUGGGCGUAAAGCGCACGUAGGUGGUCUGUUAUGUCGGAUGUGAAAGCCCUCGGCUUAACUGAGGAAGUGCAUCCGAAACUGGCAGGCUUGAGUACGAAAGAGGGUCGCGGGAAUUCCCGGUGUAGGAGGUGAAAUUCGUAGAUAUCGGGAGGAACACCAGUGGCGAAGGCGGCGACCUGGACGGACAC
rnacentral:rRNA from 1 species